rnacentral:rRNA from 1 species
GAUGAACGCUGGCGGCGUGCCUAAUGCAUGCAAGUCGAGCGAACAGACGAGGAUCUUGCUCCUCUGACGUUAGCGGCGGACGGGUGAGUAACACGUGGAUAACCUACCUAUAAGACUGGGAUAACUUCGGGAAACCGGAGCUAAUACCGGAUAAUAUAUUGAACCGCAUGGUUCAAUAGUGAAAGACGGUUUUGCUGUCACUUAUAGAUGGAUCCGCGCCGCAUUAGCUAGUUGGUAAGGUAACGGCUUACCAAGGCAACGAUGCGUAGCCGACCUGAGAGGGUGAUCGGCCACACUGGAACUGAGACACGGUCCAGACUCCUACGGGAGGCAGCAGUAGGGAAUAUUACGCAAUGGGCGAAAGCCUGACGGAGCAACGCCGCGUGAGUGAUGAAGGUCUUCGGAUCGUAAAACUCUGUUAUUAGGGAAGAACAAAUGUGUAAGUAACUAUGCACGUCUUGACGGUACCUAAUCAGAAAGCCACGGCUAACUACGUG